GUAGGGUCCGAGCGUUGUCCGGAAUUAUUGGGCGUAAAGGGCUCGUAGGCGGUUUGUCGCGUCGGGAGUGAAAACAGCGGGCUUAACUCGUUGCUUGCUUCCGAUACGGGCAGACUAGAGGUAUGCAGGGGAGAAUGGAAUUCCUGGUGUAGCGGUGAAAUGCGCAGAUAUCAGGAGGAACACCGGUGGCGAAGGCGGUUCUCUGGGCAUUACCUGACGCUGAGGAGCGAAAGUGUGGGGAGCGAACAGGAUUAGAUACCCUGGUAGUCCACACCGUAAACGUUGGGCGCUAGGUGUGGGGUCCUUUCCACGGAUUCCGUGCCGUAGCUAACGCAUUAAGCGCCCCGCCUGGGGAGUACGGCCGCAAGGCUAAA
rnacentral:rRNA from 1 species